UUUUUGGGUGUUCUCCAAAAAUUUGGCUCUUGAGAGUUGGCUUUUUGUCACUCAAACAGAUGCUUUACUCUGGCUCUGCCUGAAGAUGAAAUGCAAGGUGAUCAUAUGACCUAAAGAACUUGUCUUUGCUCGGUCAAUGCUGAUUGUUUACCAGAUAAACUUAUAAAUGGUGGGAGUCUUCUGCCUAACAAGCAAGAUGAUUAACUUUUUAGGGACAUUGUCUUGAUCUAUAUUCAUCAGUAAUUCAUCGUAAUCUUUGGAACAAAUAUUGUACUUUAGCAGACAAAUCACAGUGUGGUAUAUUUGAUCUUUCAUUGUAACUAUUAAGACUUGUCAUUAUCUGUCCUGUGAGAACAAAUAGGACAAAGAUAACUUGGAUCCCACAAAUACUGUUGUCCCUGUCUGAACAUUUUAAGACUGCCUAUCUCUAAGGACUUUUCUCAUGUCAGCACACUAGACUUUCUGCAUUAUCGUUGAA
rnacentral:lncRNA from 1 species